rnacentral:lncRNA from 1 species
AUUUUUUCUCUCCAUUCACUAUAAAAUUUACGCAAUAUAUUAUUUGUGUAAAGAAAAAAUAACAAAGUUGUCUAUAUAUCUUUUAAUUGGUUAUAGAAAUUUAGAAAAGAGCACUCGUCUUGGCUUUUCCUUUCUCAACUGUGUGAUGGUUCCCUCAAUCAACUCUAAUAUUCUCCCAUUACUUUGUACCAUCUCCUGUUUGAUCUUGUUUAAAUUAUCAAUCUGGGAGGAAAUUUCCCCCCAGCUCAUGGGACUUAUAGUUUCACGUGUUCAUCACACUUUUUCCUGAAAAGAAAUAAAAUACAUAUAGAAAGAAAGAUAACUCUAAAUUUAUUUUUACAUCAUUGAUGAUAAUAAAGCACUUUUUUUUUUUUUUUUUGUCUAUUCUUUUAUAUUCUAUAAC